rnacentral:rRNA from 1 species
UACAGAGGUCCCAAGCGUUGUUCGGAUUCAUUGGGCGUAAAGGGUGCGUAGGUGGCGCGCUAAGUCGGGUGUGAAAUUUCGGAGCUUAACUCCGAAACUGCAUUCGAUACUGGCGUGCUUGAGGACUGGAGAGGAGACUUGAAUUCAUGGUGUAGCAGUGAAAUGCGUAGAGAUCAUGAGGAAGACCAGUGGCGAAGGCGGGUCUCUGGACAGUUCCUGACACUGAGACACGAAGGCCAGGGGAGCAAACGGG